CUGGGAAGCUGCAGGGGGCGGAGCCUCCAUACAAAUGAGGAGGGCUUGGACCUACUGGAUGAGGGGGUAGGGACUUUCCUUGGGCAAUCCCCAGUGGGGAGGCAGCACCCAUGGGUGCCCCACCCUCCAUCGCCUGCUAGCAGAAGGGAAGUCGUGGCUAUAAACCCCACAGCCCCAGGGCAGGAUCAGGAUCAGGCCCGGGAUCGGGGCUGUCCCCCCAGCCAUGGCCUCCCGGCUCAGCUUCCGCCGUGCUUGCUCUCUGCGUGGCCCCCCCCGCCCCGCGACGUAUGGGCGACUGGAAGACCCUGACGACGGGGAGAUGCUGCUUGAGGGAGCCCAGAGCCGGCUGGCUCAGUGCAGGAAGCAGGUGAGGCGGUCCCUGCGCCGCGGCUGGGAGAGCCUGGUGGCCAACCUUCACAGCGUGACACUGCACCCACCCGCCGAGCCCUGCUGAGGGACCCAGGAGGCCGGGGCAGCCCUGGCCCCACCCUGCCCUGCCCGGGUGGAGGAGACAGACCGGAGCCCCCACCCGUCCUGCCGAGCGCCCUGCAGCCACCUGCCCAUCCCUGGCAGCCUGCCCCAGUCAGCGCCCAGAGCUCGACCCCCGCUUCGGCAUGGCGCGUCUGUCCGUCCAUCCACUGUCCGCCCCAUCCUAGAAGCACACAGAUCUUCCCCCCUCCCCACCCCGUGGGCACAGUGUGUCCAUCCUGCCAUCCCCUCCUCUGUCCUCGCUGCGCCCAGCCAGCCCUCCCUCCUGCACCGACCUGCCUCCUUCACCCACU